CUAUUGGUGGCUUCGUGGUGGAAUUCUCGCCUCCCACGCGGGAGACCCAGGUUCAAUUCCUGGCCAGUGCA
rnacentral:tRNA from 1 species